rnacentral:rRNA from 1 species
CUUAGUGGCGGACGGGUGAGUAACGCGUGAGAAUCUGCCUUCAGGACGGAGACAACAGUUGGAAACGACUGCUAAGCCCCGAUGAACCGAAAGGGAAAAUAUUUAUAGCCUGAAGAUGAGCUCGCGUCCGAUUAGCUAGUUGGCGGAGUAAAGGCCCACCAAGGCGACGAUCGGUAGCUGGUCUGAGAGGACGAUCAGCCACACUGGGACUGAGACACGGCCCAG